GACGAACGCUGGCGGCGUGCUUAACACAUGCGAGUCGAACGCUGAAGCUUGGUGCUUGCACUGGGUGGAUGAGUGGCGAACGGGUGAGUAAUACGUGAGUAACCUGCCCUUGACUCUGGGAUAAGCCUGGGAAACUGGGUCUAAUACUGGAUACGACAUGUCACCGCAUGGUGGUGUGUGGAAAGGGUUUUACUGGUUUUGGAUGGGCUCACGGCCUAUCAGCUUGUUGGUGGGGUAAUGGCUCACCAAGGCGACGACGGGUAGCCGGCCUGAGAGGGUGACCGGCCACACUGGGACUGAGACACGGCCCAGACUCCUACGGGAGGCAGCAGUGGGGAAUCUUGCACAAUGGGCGGAAGCCUGAUGCAGCGACGCCGCGUGAGGGAUGACGGCCUUCGGGUUGUAAACCUCUUUCAGCACGGAAGAAGCGAAAGUGACGGUACGUGCAGAAGAAGCGCCGGCUAACUACGUG
rnacentral:rRNA from 1 species